rnacentral:rRNA from 1 species
AUUAGAUACCCUAUUAUUUUUAUUGUAAAUAAGUUAAACCUGAGUAUUAAUAGUUAUGAUCUUUAAACUUAAAGAAUUUGGCGGUAUUAUAGUCUAUUUAGAGGAAUCUGUUAUGUAAUUGAUAAUCCGCGUUGAAUCUUAUUUAUAUUAUUUCUUGUAUACCGCUGUUUUGUGAAGAUAUUUUUAGAUUAUUUUCUUAAUAUUUCAUUAGUUAGUAUUUCAAGUCAAGGUGCAGUAAUAUGUAAAGCUAAUAAUGGAUUACAAUAAAUUUUAUUUAUACGGAUUAUUUUAAUGUAAGUUGAUUAUGAAGGUGGAUUUAAUUGUAAUUUAAUGAAGAUUGUUUAUUUGAUUAAAGGCUCUAUAAUAUGUACACAUCGCCCG